GACGAACGCUGGCGGCGUGCUUAACACAUGCAAGUCGAACGGAAACUCCCCUUUUGGGGUACUCGAGUGGCGUACGGGUGAGUAACACGUGCGUAACCUCCCCUUGACUUCCGGAUAACUUCAGUAAACUCGGGCUAAUACCUCAUAGGAAUCCUUUCUGCACGGUGGGUGGUGGAAAGCUUCGUCGGUUUUGUAUGGACGCGCGGCCUAUCAGGUUGUUGGUUGGGUAGUGGCUUACCAAGGCUUUGACGGGUAGCCGGCCUGAGAGGGCGGCCGGCCACCUGCGGAAUUGGAACUGGGACAGACUCCUGCGGGAGGCAGGAGGGGGGAAUGGUGAACAAUGGGCGGAAGGCUGAUGCAGGAACGAGGCGUGCGGGAUGAGGGACGUCGGGUUGUGAGCCGCUAUGAGCAGGUGCGAAGCAUGUGGUGAAGGGAACUGGAGAAGAAGCACCGGCUAACUACGUG
rnacentral:rRNA from 1 species